GUGGUGUCGUGCUUAACGGUCGCAAUGAAUAGUUGUGCUAAGGUAGCGCAGUCAAUUGUCCUUUAAUUGGGGAAAGGAAUGAAAGGGUUGACGAGGGGGAGGCUGUCUUUGUAAUAUAAUUUGAAAUUUUCUUUUAUGUGAAAAGACUUAAAUUUAAAAAUAAGAAGAGAAGACCCCGGCGAGCUUGUUAAGGGUUGUUAAAUGAAAAUGACCAUUGAGGUUUGUUGGGGCAACGCAAAGGGAAGAAAACUCCUUUGAACGUGAUAAGGAUCCACUAAGAGUGAAUAAAGCAAAAGCUACCGCGGGGAUAACAGCGCAAUUUUCUUAGAGAGUUCAUAUCGAAGAGAAAGUUUGCGACCUCGAUGUUGGAUUAAGAUUUCCUUUUGGUGCAGGAGUUAAAAAGGUGGGACUGUUCGUCCUUUAAAAUUUU
rnacentral:rRNA from 1 species